UCUAUCAUUCUUCCCAUUUUUUAAAUUAAAAGCACUUAAUACAUCAUAAUGAUCCAAUAAAUAUAAUUUUACCGUUACUAAUUCCUCAAAAGGUUUUACUCAACAGGUGUGUAUUCCUAUCAUCCUCUUCAUUCAAUAAGGAUCUCCGAAAUCUCUAUCAAAGGAAAAAAAUAAACACAGCCCUUUUGCUAUCCACCAGAAAGUCCAACCGUCGUCACGACAAAAGUUAAAGGCACUCCUUUGGUGUUGGUCCCCAUCACUGAUUUCUCUUUCAUGACUCCUCUCUCUGUGCAUGCACCUUUGUGUAUCUUUAACUCCAUAGUCCAUAAUUGAAAUAUAACUAUAUUCUUUGUAGUAUAAUUGAGAGCACUUUAAUUAACUUUUUGUUAUUAAAAAGAAUUACUCUUUACAAUGGAUCUAAUGUUUGGUCUAAGCAAGGAGAAUCAAAGUAAAGUAGGAGGGCUAUGAUCAUUUUGCUGAAAGCGGGUUUUGACAUCGACAAAAUAAAAACAUAAACUCUAAAGCCAUUUUCAACUGUCGUCUUCCUCUCUGCCAUACAGUGACAUAGUUGCAGUUUAUUGGGUGAAUAUAUUGAUCUAACUCGAGAAAGAAAGAGAUCAAUUUUGGAUCUAUGAAAAGUGAAGCGAAGAAUGGAAAGAUUGAGCUAUUUGCGGUUAAGUUUUGGUGCUUUCACGAGACUUAUCGAGACGACUAUAAAGUAUACAAGGUUAUAAAAGUUAUAUUUUCAUUUCUUCAUUCUCAUUUUGUUUGGAAAAUUUCAAAGUUCGCGAUUACUAAUAUCAUUACGAAAUUGAUUGAAUGUAUCAACCUCUUUUCCCCACUUAUUUUAAAAUCCCAAAGGAGACAUAAAGUAAUACUACAUAUUAUUUACAACAAUUAUUACUAUUAUUUGUGAAUAAUAAUUAAGCAGGAAGACGAUG